UUGUGCGAGUAGGAGAUGUUGGCAUUCGGUUAAAUCGAAUCACGUGCACCGAUGACCGGGCUCGAUCCGACGGUUAUUAUGUUAUCUAAUUGGAUUAGGAUUAAUCUCGCUUUUAAAUUGGAAAGCUAUUUAGAGAUAAAAUCUAAUCAUAUUAGGAUAACAAUUAAUAACCAAUUUGGCCUUAUCUCUUACGCUAUUAGGAUUUUGGAAUUCCUUAUAAAUAUACGGGCAAUCCCACAUAAAACAUAGAACGAAAAAGAGAGAGAAUAAGAAAACAAAAGAGAGAAACCGCAUCCUCCAUUAACCUAUUAUUCUAUAGGGACUUGAACGGUGGAUUUGUGAUCGUGCUCGUUCGCAGUUCGAUCCACUGCGGGUUCGGAGCGUUAGAAGACCUUCAAGGACGAUCCAAGGACACGUGAAUCAACCUUUACAAUUCGGGCUCAUCGCGUUGUAGCGCGAAUCGCUUCCGCAAAAAGGUACGAACGAAUACUUUCGCUGCGUUCAACAUAGCUGGCAGUCAAAAUAUACACCCAUCUAUUCAUAGUCGAAAAUUACGAUAUUACACUUGUGCUACAUCAUUAAUAACAAGUAAAUCACAUCUCUUCUCAGGAGAAAAGUAUAAUAAAAAUACUUUUUAAUAAUUUUGACAGGAUAGAUGGACUGAAAAGAAAUAAUUUUAUUAGUUUGAAAUGUCACAUGAGUAAUAUAACCGGUGUAUUCUAGAUUUUUUUUCUAUCCAUAUUGGUGCUCAGUUGUAUCCAAACUUCUCACAAACGUUGGGCUAAGUGAAUCACAAACCUUACAUUAAUUACCCAGCCCGCUAUCCACUUGCAAAUAACGUCUCUGCACUGAAA
rnacentral:lncRNA from 1 species